CUUCCCGCAAUGCAACAAAGGAGGGACUUUGUCCCAGCCUUUCCCCUAGCCAUGAGAGGUGCUGUUAAAUCCCUUUGUGCCUCCCACCGGCCUUGGAGAGAUGAUAUUUCCCCUGUAGUACCCCAGGGGACGGGCCGACGGGAUGGACUUUGUAUCUUUUGGCUGAUCUGGCCGGACAUCCUUGCCCAAUAAGCACUUACCCAGUUGCCCACCCUCCAAAAAAAGGAGAAAAUCAAAUCAGUAAUUUGAUCGAUCAUUUUCAUAGAUAUGCUGUAAUAGAACAAUUCACCUGGUUGUGAACUGGGCUGGGGAGUUUCAAGACGUGAGUUUGUUAACUGACUAGUUUCUUGCUUGGUGUAGAGGCCUUAGGCACUCUCACACUUAAACCGGCAGAAAGGCCAGGGAGUAUCUAGACUACACACUGGACUCAACUGGAAACACAUUGUACACCUCAAGACAUCGUACAGUUUCUCAGACUGAGAUGCUGGCUGUGAUGUCUAUGCAGCACAGCCCCAAGUCCCAACUGACAGAAAUGUCUCAGAAACUUAAUUCACCACGGUCUUUUUUUUUUUUUUUUUUUUUUUUUGAGACAGAGUCUUGCUCUGUCGCCCAGGCUGGAGUGCAAUGGCGCAAUCUCGGCUCACUGCAGCCUCUGUCUCCUGGGUUCAAGCAAUUCUCCCGCCUCAGCCUCCUGAGUAGCUGGGAUUACAGGCGCCCGCCACGACACCUGGCUAGUUUUUGUAUUUUUUAGUAGAUACGGGGUUUCACCAUGUUCGCCAGGCUAGUCUUGAACUCCUGACCUCAAGUAAUCCGCCCACCGUGGCCUCUCAAAGUGCUGGGAUUGCAGGCGUGAGCCACACGCAUGGCCUCACCACGGUUUUAUUUUUGUUUUUUUGUUUUUGUUUUUGUUUUGAGAUGGUCUCACUCUGUCGCCCAGGCUGGAGUGCAGUGGCACGAUCUCGGCUCACUGCAACCUCUGCCUCCUGGGUUCAAUCAGUUCUCCUGUCUCCAACUCCCGAGUAGCUGGAAUUACAGGCAUGCCACCACCAUGCCCAGCUAAUUUUUGUAUUUUUAGUAGAGACGGGGUUUCACCAUGUUGGCUAGGCUGGUCUCGAACUCCUGACCACAGGUGAUCUACCCGCCUUGGCCUCCCAAAGUGCUGGGAUUACAGGCGUGAACCACUACCAGCAGCCUCACCACAGUUCUUAAUAGAAGUAGUCUAUUUGAGGAAAAACAGUUAAUUUAUAAAGAAACUGAAUAAUGUAAUAAAUUGAGGAAUUUUUUUCCCAGCCUUGUACUUUUUAUACCAUCAAAUCCACUGACUUUAAGUGUACAGUUUAAAAAAUAAAUUUAGCCAGGAGCGGUAGUGCACACCUGUAGUCCCAGCUACUUGGGGGCUGAGGUGGGAGGAUCACUUGAGCCAGGGAGGUCGAGGCUGCAGUGAGCUGUGAUUGUGCCACUGCACUCCAGUCUGGGUGACAGAGCAAGACCCUGUCUCAAAACUAAACAAAUAAAUAAAAAUAAAUUUAUGGAGUUGUGCAACCAUCACCACAAUACAGUUUUAGAACAUUUCCCCUAUCCCCCACGAAUUCCCAGAAGCAGUUUGCAGUUAAUCUCCUCUCUCAUGUUUAGCCCUAGGCAACCAUUUGUCUGCUUUCUGUCUGUAUAUAGUUGCUUUUUCUGGACAUUUCACAUGAAUGGACUCAUACAAUAUGUGGCCUUUUGUGUCUGGGUUCUUUCACUUAACAUGAUGUUUUCAAGGUUCAUCCAUUUUGUAACAUUAUCAAUACUCCCUUCCUUUUUCUGGCUAAAUAAUAUUACAUUGAUGGAUAUACCAUAUUUUGUUUUUCCACUCAUCAGUUGAUAAACAUUUGAGUUGUUUCCACUUUUUGGUUGUUAUGAAUAAUUCUGUGAAUAUUCGUAUACAAGUUUUUGUGUGGACAUGUUUUGGGUUCUCUUGGGUAUAUACCUAGGAGUGGAAUUGCUGGGUUUUAUAAAGUAACUGUAUGUUUAACUUUUUAGGAACUUCUGGAUUGCUUUCCAAAGUGGCUGCACUGUUUUCUAUCCCCACUGGUAAAUGUAUGAGGAUUUCUAUUUCUCCACAUCCUUACCAAUACUUUCUUGUCUGUCUUUUUGAUUAGUGUCUCAUUGUGAUGUUAAUUUGCCUAGAUUGAGUGACUUUUGGUUGUAUUUGGUUUAGCUAGUUUCACUUCAUUUAAUGAAUGCCUUUUUUAGUGUUAUAAAAAUUAGGAGCUGAAAUGAAUAAUACAUAGUCCUUCCUUGCAAGGAGCUCAUAGUUCCUUCAGGAAGACAGACAACAAAACAAUGACAGUACAGCUUGUUAAGUGCUCUGAAGGGAGUUGAGGACAAGAUGCUCUGGGGAGCAGAGAAGAGGAACACUUAACCCUGCUUGAAGGCGGGUGGAGGAAAGUAUUAAGGAAACCUUUCCCAGAAGAGGUCUUAAUGUGCCUCUGGUUUUCUUUUGUUUAUUUUAAUCAAAAUUGUACAAGUACAUACUGUAGGUUUUUUAUUUGUUUUGAAACAGCAUCUCGCUCUGUCACCCAGGUUGGAGUACAGUGGCGUGUGCAAUCACAGCUCACUGCAGCCUCAACCUUCAAGCAAUCUUCUCACCUCAGCCUCCCAAAUACCUGGGACUACAGGUGCACACCACCAUGGCUGGCUAAUUUUUAAAUGUUGUGUAGAGACAGGGUUUCACAGCCAGGCGCAGUGGCUCACGCCUGUAAUCCCAGCACUUUGGGAGGCUGAGGUGGACAGAUCACCUGAGGUCAGGAGCUCGAGACCAGCCUGGCAAACAUGGCGAAACCUCAUCUCUACUAAAAAUACAAAAAUUAGCUGGGCGUGGUGGUGUGCACCUGUAAUCCCAGCUACUCAGGAGGCUGAGGCAGGAGAAUCGUUUGAACCCAGGAGGUGGAGGUUGCAGUGAGCUGAGAUCGCAUCACUGCAUUCCAGCCUGGGUGACAGAGCAAGACUCCAUCUCAAAAAAAAAAAAAAAAAAAGAAAGAAAAAGAAAAAGAAAAAGACAAAAAAAAAAAAAAAAAAAGACAGGGUUUUGCCAUGUUGCCCAGGCUGAUCUUGAACUCCUAGGCUCAAGCAAUCCUCCCACCUCAGCCUCCCAAAGUGCUGGGAUUACAGGUAUCAUACUGCAGUUUUUAAAAAUCAAAUAGUUCUACAAGAUUUGCUUUUUUUAAAAAAUGAAUCAUUUGCUUUCCUUCCCAUUCCAUGUUGCCCCCAAAAGCAACCACUUUCUAUUCUUUUAAGUCUUUGAAUAUUUACCUGUAUAUCUUUAAAGAGCAUAUUUAUAUUUGAGAAAAAGAAGCCCCAACAUAGGCCAAUUAAUAUCCUCACUUGCACUGAUUUUUAAAUUGGUCAGCCCUAUUAAAUAUUAACACAUGGUUAGUUAUGAAAGUGACGGUCACAAUGCAGCCUACCUUCUGUCCAUCUAAAUGAAAGAAGACAGGCAUGCUCAACAGUUAGCUACUAGAAUAACUGAAGUAACACAAUACAUACUUUUAAAAAAUGUGGGCUGGGCGCGGUGGUUCACGCCUGUAAUCCCAGCACUUUGGGAGGCCGAGGUGUGUGGAUCACCUGAGGUCAGGAGUUCGAGACGAGCCUGGCCAACAUAGGCGAAACACCAUCUCUACUAAAAAUACAAAAAUUAGCCAGGCGUGUGCCUGUAGUCCCAGCUACUUGGGAGGCUGAGGCAGGAGAAUCGCUUGAACCUGGGAGGCGGAGGUUGCAAUGAGCUGAGAUCACACCACUGCACUCCAGCCUGGGCGACAAAAAAAAAAAAAAAAAGUGGCUGAGGAAUUGUUUUUCUCAUUGGUGCUUUACUAUCAUAUAGCUCCAGUAAGCCAGCACCCAAAUGUAACUGUCAAUUAUGAGGAAUGUUAUUUUCACUUAAACUUUAAAAGAAAAGCAAACCACAAACAAGCUGCAUGAUGUAGUAUAGGAAUCGGCAAUCUAUGACCUGUGAGCUAAGAAUGUGUUUUCAGAUGAAUAGUGACAACAAAUUUGAUGAUAGGGAACACUAAUUUUCAACCCUAAUGAAGCAAAAUGUUAUUAUUCUAUUCUAAUCUUUUCAUUAGUAGAACUGUAUUAUAAAACCUUAUAGUCAAUUGUUAUUACUUUUUAAAUUUCAUUAAUUAAAAAUUUGUACAAUUUUGUUUUCUCUCAUUAUGUAAAUACUUAUGUAAUAUCCUCGAUCUUGCUUCUUGGUUCAUAAAUUCUAAAUUAUUAAUUCUCUGACCUUCACAGAAAAGCUUGCUAACUCCUGGUUUAAUAGAAUAAAAAGGGCUGGGCGCGGUGACUCACGCCUGUAAUCCUAGCACUUUGGGAGGCUGAGGUGGGCGGAUCACGAGGUCAAGAGAUUGAGACCAUCCUGGCCAACAUGGUGAAACCCCGUCUCUGCUAAAAAUACAAAAAUUAGCUGGGCAUGGUGGCGUGCACCUGUAGUCCCAGCUACUUAGGAGACUGAGGCAGGAGAAUUGCUUGAACCCGGGAGGCAGAGGUUGCAGUGAGCUGAGAUUGUACCACUCUACCCCAGCCUGGCAACAGAACGAGACUCCAUCUCAAAAAAAAAAAAAAAAAAAGGUAUGGAAAGCAAUUGACAUGUACUUGCUGUGUGAUCUUGGGAAGUCACUUUAUGUCUCUGGUCUUUAUUUUUAUUAUCUAUAAAAUGGAGCUAAAGGGUAAUGGGUUGAUGAGAUAAACUACCAUGAAUCCCCCAGUUUUUGAUUAAUUAAUUAUACAAAUAUUUAUUGAGUUACUGUUAUGUACCAAGAACUGUUAAAUGCAUUGGGAAUACAGCAUGAAACGAAAUUUUUGUCCUGAAAGAAGACACUGUUCUCAAUGAAAAGAGACUUAAGAUGCAGCGUGUGGUCUGAGAUUGGAUCAUGAUUUAAACAAACUUGCUUAAUGGGACAUUUUUGGGAAAAUUAGGGAAAUUUGUAUAUGGAUGGUUAUUAGAUGAUGUGAAAACUUUUUAAGAUGAAAUGGUGGAGGUCAUUAACUGAAAAGGGCAGUUGUAAAACAUUUUGUACAGUAUUUCAUUUUUGGAAGAAAAUGCGUAUAUGUAUUACAUAUACUUAGAAAAAAUAUCUGAAAAGAUAUAUACUAAGCUGUCAACGGUGAUUUCUGUGUGAUGGGAACACAAUGUUCUAUUUAGUUAUUUUUGCUUUCAAAUUUUUCACAAUGAAUAUACACUGCUUUUGUAAAAAUAAAAGAUUGUUUCUAAUUUAAAAAAUAAUCUCUCUUUUCACAAAGCUUAUAGCUAAUGCCUCUUGUAAGUAUUCAUAUUGCCAAUUUGUCACUUUUUUUUUUCAGGGCAGGAAAACAUCUAAGAAAGGAGGCUCCCCCUUCCCUUGCAGGGUGACCAGCAAUUAAAAAGAAGUACUAGAGAGGCAAAUAUCGGCAGUAUACAUCUAAGCGCUGGUCGGAAAAGAAGGAACUCAGCCCAAGAACUUGCCCAAUCUGAUACUGGAGGUGCCACUCAAGAACCACUCCCUCCAAGAUGUUUUCCUGGAUUUCCUCAGCCUAAAGUAAUCCCUCUUUUUCCUGGCUAUACCAUCUGGAACAGAUGACUUCCAAGGACACCGUAGCAAAGAAAAAGAGAACUGGAAGCCCAUGUGCUGUAAUCGCCUCAUCCUAGAGGUAACACAGAAAUUCUGCAUACAUUUCAUUGGCAGGAACUAAUCACCUAACCCCAAUUUAGCCACAAGGAAGACUGGGAUAUGUAGAGGCAUAGCUAGUAGAUUUCAUGUCUAUUAACAGUCUCUGCUAUACCCCCUCAGUACCAACUGACCACUAACUUCCCACCCCACUCACCAGGAAUGUAUAGCUGCUGAUGAUUUUCGAAUUUGGUAAGAGACUGGAUUGUGAAUAUCAGACCACCUCUUCAGUCUAACAGACAGUGCUUGUUUUACCUAAGGUGAGGAGACAGCACAGGCAGUACUCACUUGUUUGUCAGUUACAGUCCUUUUCCUUUCCCUCUCUCAUUACUCACCAUGAAACACACAUUGUCCCUUCUACUUCUGUCCCAAGCGUCACACUCAUAAGAACAUAAGAAGUCCCCCCAGAUCAAACAAGAGUGCUUGAAUAGAAAGUGAGAUAUUUCUUCUUUAUAAGGUUGACCUUACAAGGCUGAGGCAGGCUGUGCCUAAUUAUGUAGGGACCCUAAUGUCUCAUGGUUGUGUCAGCAUAAGUUAAUUAAUGAUUAACCCUCUAACAAGGCUAAGUGAACAGAAUUCCCCAGUGUCCUGAGAGAAGGAAAGUUAAUGUGGUCUUUCUCCCAGGAGGAGGAUAACCAGUGGAGCCUUUUCCGGAUUUCUCACUAGAAGUAAAGACCAAAUUUCCAGAAGGAAACUGAGAGAUAAAAAGUGGUUGGCUGCUCCUGACCUGACUCAUAGUGUUUAACUGAACCAUACCACUAGUGUAUACUAGUGUGUGUGUGUGUACAUGCAUAUACGCAUGCACACACACAUUCACACACAAUCCUAUGGUAUUUGGUGACUUUGGAUGCCCAGCUCUUGCAACAAUUUCCUGCUGUCAUUCUUUUCCCUUUGAAUCUCAGGGGUGAGCAAACUAAAGAAAUACUAUCAUCUUACUGCUUUUAGUAUCUUCCAUAGAAAAGGAGUGGCUGGAGUCAGUGUAGAUCAACCCAAGCAGUACAAAUCUGCCAGAAUUGCAGCUCAGCUUCCUUACCUCCAGCAUGUGUACCUUUCUGAAGGGUAGGCCCUUAAGCCAGACAUAAGUAAGUUAUCCACUCUGUGCAUAACUGUCUGACUUGGCUUAGAAGCAUGAAAGGGGCAGAAAUGUAAGAUGGGUAAAGAAGGGCUGCAUCUUAAAUAGGGCCAUGAUGAUUAGCUCUCUCUUUCCUUCCUUUGGCUUCAUUGCUGUAUUCCAUGUGGGUCUUGAUAUCUUAAAACUGGAUGAGAUACCCAAAUAGUCAGUCCCUGAAUAUAAAUCAUUUCCUUGUACAGAAUCACUGCCAAACUCAGUAUGGUUAAAAGAUUUUUAACACCCAGCUGCAGCAUUCACUCUGGUUAGAAUUGGCCAUUUAAAUUUAUUUCACAUAUGUAAGUAUCAUAUCCUUUAUAAUGCAUUCUUAAUUGUUGCUCAGUUCUUCCAGAUUGAAUUCCUUUAAAAAAUUCCUUAUGUAAUCUUUUAAUUCUAGUUGGAAAACAUCACUUGACAGUUGCUGUUUAUACAGGCAUGCCUCGUUUUAUUGUGCCUGGCUUUAUUGUACUUUGCAGAUACUGUGUUUUUCACAAAUGGAAGGUUUGUGGCAACCCUGCGUUAAGCAAGUCUGUUGGCACCAUUUUCUCGACAGCAUGUGCUAACUUUGUCUCUGUCUCACAUUUUGGUAAUUCUCUCAAUGUUUCAAACUUUUUCAUUAUGAUUACAUCUGUUAUGUGGAGCUGUGAUCAGUGAUCUUUGAUGUUACCAUUGUAAUUGUUUUGGGGUGCCACAACUGUGCCCAGAUAAGACAGUGAACUUAAUUGGUAAAUGUUUUAUGUGUUCAGACUGUUCCACUGACUAGCCCUUCUUCAAACUCUCUCCCUCUCCUUGGGCCUCCCUAUUCCCUGAAAUACAACAAUAUUGAUAUUAAGCCAAUUAAUAACCCUACAAUGAUUUCCAAGUGUUUAAGUGAAAGGAAAGACACGUAUCUUUCACCUUAAAUCAAAAGCUAGAAAUGGCCAGGCAUGGAGGCUCACGCCUGUAAUCCCAGCACUUUGGGAGGCCAAGGCAGGCGGAUCACAAGGUCAGGAGAUCGAGACCAUCCUGGCUAACACAGUGAAACCCUGUGUCUACUAAAAAAUACAAAAAAUUAGCCGGGCGUAGUGGCAGGCGCCUGUAGUCCCAGCUACAUGGGACGCUGAGGCAGGAGAAUGGCGUGAACCUGGGAGGUGGAGCUUGCAGUGAGCCGAGAUCGCGCCACUGCAUUCCAGCCUGGGUGACAAAGCGAGACUCCAUCUCAAAAAAAAAAAAAAAAAAAAAAAAAAAAAGCUAGAAAUGACUAAGCUAAGCUAAGUGAGGAAGGCACGUCAAAAGCCCAGCGAGGCCUCUUGUGCCAGCCAGUUAGCCAAGUUGUGAAUGCAAAGGAAAAGUUCUUGAAGGAAAUUAAAGUGCCAUUCCAAUGAGCAUGUGAAUAAGAAAGCAAACAGCCUUAUUGCCGAUAUGGAGAAAGUUUUAGUGAUCUGGAUAGAAGAUCAAAUGUUUUCUUAAGCCACGAUAUUCCCUUAAACCAAAGCCUGCCUAAUCCAGAACUGGACCCUAACUCUCUUCAAUUCUAUGAAGGCUGAGAGAGAUGAGGAAGCUGCAGAAGAAAAGUGUGAAGCUAGCAGAGGUUGGUUCAUGAGGUUUAAGGAAAGAAGCUGUCUCCACAACACAAAAGUGCAAAGAGCAGCAAGUGCUGAUGGAGAAGCUGCAGCGAGUUAUCCAGAAGAUUAACUAAGAUUAUUGAUAAGAGUAGCUGCACUAAACAACAGAUUUUCCAUGUAGACAAAACAGCCUUAUAUUAGAAGAAGAUGGCAUCUAGGAAUUUUUUUUUUUU